AAAGGGCCAUAAAAAAUGCGAAACUCGAUUAUACUAUCGGCAGACAAUCGAUUGCGGUGGUCCGAUUAUCAAUAGUGAAUUUUUAGUCUGAUACCCAACACUAGAUACAAUACAAACUGUAGCUAUAACAAAGAUAAAUUUAACAUAAAAAUGAUAUCUCUAUAGUUAGGUUGUUCUCAUGUAGAACAGUUUCAAAUAUAACUUUCCAUAACAUAGCUUUCUUUUGUAACAAAUGAGAUAAAAAAAGUUUGCUCUUUCUUGAAAAAGAAAAAAAAAAAAUUCCUGAAAUUGACCAGCUACUAGUAUCUCUUUCAGAAAAAAUGUUGGCAUGUUUGUCAAAACUUCACAACUGCCUCUAGUACUAGUACCACUUUUCUGAGACAGUAAUUCAGUAUCAGUUUUUGCAUAAUGACUGCGGUACCAGUGCCAGUAAUGUAUGUCUGCCACAGAAAUAUUUUAUAGAAAAAGUACAUUGACGAUUUUUGUAUAAGGAAAUGUAUGCACCUUCCGUGUGGAAUUGUUUUAAAUGAUUUAAUACAUUCUAAUUUCAGUUAUAUUGUCUAAGCCAGAUGAAAACAAGAAACGACUGAGCAAAAUACCAACUUCCCGAUCAAAGCUUGCACCUAAAAUCAGCGAGGGAGCUUUCUCUAACAUUAUGACAGUGCGGUCAAGUUUGGAGGAGGCAGGGAGGCACCAAGUCACUCAUCAAGUUAAAAAUUUAAAGACAGGCGGGUCCAACACUAUGCUCAAUAAACUUGUGAAUGGACAAAAAAUAAACUUAACUUUCAAAGCAGUAUCAUAAAAAUAUGCAUUCAUUGUGUCGCCUCUACGGAGUAGUGGCGACAUAUAGGGAUCACUUCUCCGUCGUCUGUCUGUCCGUCCGUCUGUCCGUCACAAAACUUGUCGGGACUACUCCUCAUAAACAAAUGGUCUAAUUUCAUCCAAACUUUACAGGAAUGAUCAGUACCAAGUCUAGUUGUGCAUAUAGUCAGCAUUUUCCGGUUCAAUGAUUUUUGUCAGAGUUAUGGCCCUUUAAUAAUUUUUAUUUUUAAAGUUUGUCCGGACUACUUCUCUUAUACCACUAAUGCGAUUUCAAUGAAACUUCACAGGAUUGAUCUGUAGCUCAAGUCCUUGCGCGUAUUGCACGGUUUUUCCGGUUGAAUGAUUUUUGGCCGAUUUAUGGCCCUUUGAUAAAAAGGUGUUUUUUUCUGUGUGUUGCCAGAUACACAAAAGCUUGUCCGAACUACUCCUCAUAAACUAGUCUACUGGUGUAAUUUUAUCCAAACUUUACAGGAAUGAUCAGUACCAAGUCUAGUUGUGCACUGUCCGUCUGUCUAUCUGUCUGUCACAAAACUUGUCCCAACAUGAAAUUGGCCAUCAUGAAAUUGGCGACACAUAUGAUGUGAUCACUGAUCGCUCUUGUUUGAUACUAGGGCUUUGUUAAACAUAGAUUAAAUAGGCACCUAAUAGAAACUAGUCAAACUUACUGCCCAGCUAUGUGUAAAGAAAAACUUAAAUAGAAAUUCGAUUAAAGCUGCAGGCCUUUUUAUAUGCUGUGAAGGAUACACAUCUAGUGCAACCUAGCCUAGGGCAACUUAUAGUAUUUUAUAUGUCGUUAAAAUAUAAGCAGUCAUAAAUGAUGUAAAUUUUAGGAGAUGAAAAUGCUAAAUUCUGACCUAUUCGGCAUAGUGUAAUAAGUGCUAAAAGUUUCAUUGUAAAUAUUUACAAACUUUUUAAUUUCUUUCAGAUGUUAUUAAUUGUAAUUCUGAGAGUAAACUGUAUUGUCUUUAUUAUGAAAGUGACAUGGAAUGUUUUAUUUGUCCGAUUAAAAAAUAUUGCUGAUUGUGAUGAACUUUUUACUAACGUUAUACAUGUAGUGAUAUUUUUGUUUGUUUAUCUUUCAUUAUUUAAUUCUUAUAUUAAUUAUGAUCUCUUAUAUAUCUACACAAUGUUGAAUUUUAAUAAAACAGUUAACAAUUA